rnacentral:rRNA from 1 species
UACGUAGGGUGCAAGCGUUGUCCGGAAUUAUUGGGCGUAAAGAGCUCGUAGGCGGUUUGUCGCGUCGAAUGUGAAAACCCGGGGCUCAACCCCGGGCCUGCAUUCGAUACGGGCAGACUAGAGUUCGGUAGGGGAGUCUGGAAUUCCUGGUGUAGCGGUGAAAUGCGCAGAUAUCAGGAAGAACACCAAUGGCGAAGGCAGCUCUCUGGGACGGUACUGACGCUGAGACGCGAAAGCGUGGGGAGCGAACAGG